GUAGGAGAGGGUGAGGCAGGCCUGACAGUAGGCCAUUCAUCCUCCAUGCUAGAAGAGACAAACUGCUGGCAGAGGAAGACAGGCCCCAUAAAUCACUUUCAGCACACACACACACACACACACACACGCACACACACACACACACGCGCACACACACACACACAUGCACAGAAACCCACAUGUGAACAGAAAACACACAUCUCUCCUACAGCUUAUUUUAAAAAGGUCUACAUUUGGUUUUUUUUUCAUUCAGACCAUCUGGGGAUGUUUUUCCUUUUGUUCAGUGGUGGAAAGUAUCUAAGUACAACUACUCUGUACUGCGUAAUGUAGGUACUCGUUUAAGAUACUUGUAUCUUACAUUUACAUCACUCAUCUCCUCGGACGGAAAUACGUUUUAGCUUUACUUUAAAGAGGAAGGUUUACCAAUUUGAACACAAAAAGAUAAUCAAACUACACAGCAGUUUGUGCGACUACAGCGUGAAGGAUUAGUUGAUUCAUUGAUUGGUCAAUUGCCAGAAAAUUAAUUGGCAACUACGUUAAUGGUCCAUUAGGUGUUUUUUCGUGCGGAAACACUGAAUGUUUCCAGCGUCUGAAGAGUGAGGAAGUGCUGCUUUUCCUAUUAGUUACUUUAAUAAUGUCGACGUUUGGCCCCGUCGUCGUCUUUCUGUGUAUCUCUACAUGCCUUUACUUCAUUCGCUUCGGCCACACGUCACAGUGGAGGAGCAAAUAUUCCGGUAACCUUUUGGAUUUUCCUUUUCCCCGUCCAGUAAAAACUGGUCUGGCGGCGGUUGCUCUUCCUCCUCCGUCCAAGGCCGGGCGCCCUGUGACCGAUCCACACGCUCCCCCUGCGGCUUCCGUCAGUCACAACCCCCCCCACUCCCCUCACCCUCCUCCCCUCCUCCCCCGCCCAGUGUGGGGGGGAGAGCAGGGCCAGUUCCUCUUCGUCCGGCCGUGACCUCGGCGCCGCCGUGCACGCCGUGUUUUGACAGCGGGCCACACGCUGACCACGGCCGCCGGGGCCGGUCGGGGAGUGGCCGCCCUCAUGUUUGCACAGGGGGAUGUUCUAUAUAUACCAUUAUAUAUAUGUAUAUAUAUAUAUAUAAUGGUAGAACGGUACUUCCUCUCUUCCAAACAGGUAGAAUGAAAAUCUUUCAUCUCAAAGCCUCUUGAAGGAAACAACAUUGAGGAAAAGUCAUUUAUUACAGUAACACCUGCUAGUGGAUUUACAUAAAGUCACAACUGAAACGUCUGUGCAAAGCUUGUUAAAUUAAACCCAUUAUGGCUCAUUUGCUGCAGAUGUUUGAGCGAUGUUUGUCCACCCGCUUGCUACUUAAUGCACCCACGUGUGCGCUUGGCUUUGUGCGCGAGUGUGUAGCUCGAGCUCGGACAGCAGCCGCUGUUGUGACGCCGUAAAAGUCUCUCGCUCGUCGUUGUGUAACGCGGGAUGUAAAACGCUCGCGUGAGUCGGGUCAGAUGUCCAGAGAGCGAAUGUGACUCCUUAGCUGCCAAACAGCGGAGGGCUUUGUGCCCUGCGUGUUCGUGUAAGCGUCACAUGUAUGUGCGUGAUGGCAAUAAAGUGUAAAAAAAAACACUAAACAACCACAACAACUGUGAGCUUGAGGUUAGAAAAGUUUUAGAAGUUUUCUCUGUAAUUAAGAACAAAACAAGCAGCAUCUCAAGAGACCGAAGAACGUUAUUGUGCAUAAAUCCUGUUUCGGCUUCAGGGUCUUAAGAUAGAGCCUCGUAAAUUGUACCGCAUGUGAUCCAUCUUUGGCCUUUUUAUUCCUACAAAUGUUCUCACGGAAAUAUGUGAGCGUUUGAUGUGGAGAAGGAAUUAAUCCACACCACAGAAAGACUUGAAGCGCAGAAUAAUCGAGCAUGUUCUGCUUUUCAAUCUCCCCCGUCCUGCUCCUCGUUUGUCUCCCUUUAACGUGGGUUUGUGUUUCCCCCCUUCGACCGCAUGUGGGGCAGAGAGGUCAACUCUCAUUAGACGCAAGAUUUCACCUCCCCAGUUUCCUCCUCUUCCUCCAGCCUGCAGGAUUUAAGCGUAACGCAGAAGCCGUGAUGAUUCCAGACGAUGGAGAGGAGGAGAAGGAACAGCUGUUGCUGAAGGGUGUUAUAAGCCAGAGCUAACAUGCUAACAGGCUAAUUGAGCUAAUGUUAGCUACAAGUUACUCCGGCUGACCUCCUAAUGCUUCAUGUGGAAUGAUUUUAGAAUAACAAACGGAGUCUGAAACGAGCACUUUAUUGCUGUUUUGAAUAUUAGCUUAAACUCUGACAAGAGGGAGUUCCUCUGUUACUACUGUUAGCCUGUUAGCCCCAUAUGCUAACAACUGCGGCUCACAUCGCAUCGUCUGUUUUAUGCAUUCCCACACGUUGUUUUUUUUCCUUUUUUUUUUGACCUCACCCUUGGGAUUGUUAACGCACAUUCUUUUGCUCGCCCCGUUACGGUUGCUCGGUUUGGAUGACGGACUGGUUGUUUGACGCCUUUGGAGAGUGCAGUUUAUCUAAACUUUUGGACACCUUGCCUGGGCGAGAGGGACGCUUUGGCUGUCGGAGCCAAUUGAGGGGCUCGAGAAGAGAGGCAUUAAUCAAGCGUUGAGCGCGGUGGCAGACGUCGGAUUGCACAGAGCUGCAAAGCAAAUAUGUCGCUGUCGAUGAGGCAGUGGUGGAUUGCAAGUCGGUGGCUCAGCUGAAUAGCGAGCUAAGCUAAUGUGGGACAGCGGGCCUGUGGAAACUAUUUGCUCUACGUGGUGGGAGGCGUGUGAAUGAGCGAUGCCGCCUUCAUCCUCGCAUCCCUCGUUUUCUGUUUCUUUAUUCUGUCCAUUUUUCCACUUUUAAGGUAGGGGUGAAGGUGUCAUUAGGAUUAAAGAAAAGUCCCCCCGGCCUCCUCCCCAUGGCGUCUCGCUGCAUCCUCAACGUCCAAGAUCGUUCUCGGGCGCAGCAUCAAGACGGCGGCGCCAACCUUGCGGCACUUGUUUGCACAAAUCCUGAAUGGGUCCUCUGUGUCUUUGGCAAAAGUGAGAUUCUGAUGCCAUGAAGGAGAUUCAGAUGCCGCUCUGCACUCACCGAGAGUAAUAACCUCCGACAAAAUCGGACCCCCCUGGUGCUCCUUUUCACGGACACUUUAAAAAGAAAUUUAGUGACAAUUGCAAGCGGUUAAAAAUGGUCUGAAGUGUCAAUCAACCCUUUUUUUUUGCACUUUAACUCGCCCUCUUCGCAAUAAGCUGGUUGAUUCCACAUCGGUGGGGAAAUGUAGCUGUAAGCGUUAAAAGGAGCCCGCCGCGGCGACUUCACCUUGAUGGCUGGGGGGGACGGCGUGGGACGAGUCAAAGCGGGAGUUUAUGGAUCAAUAGCUGUCACAGCUCUGGAGUCCUACGAUCCGUAAAGCUGCCUGCUUAAAAAGAUUAUCACUGCACUGUGUGUGUGUGUGUGUGUGUGUGUGUGUGUGUGCACGAAAGAGAAUAAAUUACAGGGUAAUGAUAUUAAAAGCACAAAGUCGUUAAGAUGCCAAGUUAAGACACAAUAAAUCCAGUCAUGGCUUCUCCGGCCUGUCCCCACGCUGGGUAAUUAAAUUAGAUUUAUAAGCCAUAUUACAUCAGUGCGAGAUGCUUCAUCCUCCCUCGGCUCCGAUACGCCGUCCCUCCAUCCCGCCCCCGCUUUAUUAGACGGCCUGACGCAAAAAUAAAUAAAAUAAGGAGGAAUGUCUCAGGGCUGCGAGAGCUCGGCACCGGGCACUCCGUCUUCCGGGGGGGGGGGGUGUCACCCGUUGUCCGGGGGAUGAUGUAUUAAGCGCUCCUCUGCAGAGGCGAGGCUGUGGCUGUGACCCCGUCACACGGCUCUGUCAUCAUGCACCGUCACUUGCCCCCCACCUCCCACGUCCCCCCCACGUCCCCCCACCCCCAGUGGCAUUCAAGGGAAGGUUGGAUGUGCCAGCGUGGAGCGAGGUGGAGGCUAAGGGGGGAGAGUUAAGGGGGGUGGGGCAACAACAUAAAAGGGACAAAAGACAAAGUAAGGAAAACGUUUUUUUAACGCACCUUCACCUGCUCUUUAGUCUUUUAGCUCACAACAGAUAUAAACUCAUUUCGAUUCAUGAACGCACCAUUCAGAGGACGGACAGAGAACCGCGUGUGUCAAUAAAAAAACAAUCACACACAUGUAAUGAGAUUAACGGAUGAACACGUCAAUCGGGGGAAUGAUUGUGGGCAGAAAACUGCGAAUGCGUUAUUAUUGAUAUUAUUAUUAUUAUGUAGUGUGUGUGUGUGUGUGUGUGUGUGUGUGUGUGUGUGUGUGGGAGGACAUUUAUCUGCUGAAUUAGUUCACACAAUCGAGUGCUGCAGUGAUGAAGUAUUUUCGUCAGCGUCUCCCUGUUUCCCUCAAACGAACUCGUAUGAUCCUUGAACGUUUGAUUUACUGAAGCUUCCAUCGUUUAGAAUAAAACUUUAAAAUCUCUUACGCUUGCCUCAAGCAGCCACCUUUCAGACAUCUUCAGACUCAAAAACACCUGCGACUUUGAGGGGAACCGGAAGUGAAAGAUUUAAUAGAGACUACAAGAUCAAUAUUUACACGUUUUCAGAUGCGAGCUGGGAAAACUCUCACGUUGUUCAGCCUCGUGUGGUUGAUUCCAACAAUCUAUUGCACUUUUAUUAUCGUUAUUAAUCAACGGUUUGCAACCGGCGGGUUGUGAUCAAUAAGCUGGAGUGAAACUAAUUUGGACGUGCGGGUGGAAUCAAUCAGGAGGAGUUUUUAUCUGCAUAACUGCCAGCGAGUCACGCUCGUUAGGGCCAACAUUAGGAGAUGAGAGAUUUGCAGCAUUUUUAAUUGGAACGACAGAACUGAGCCGUCGUUUCUCUUCCUCUUCAUGCUCACUCCUAAUCCCUGAGAUUUGUCCCUUUCUCUUUGUUUCUCCCGUAUAAGUAAUUUUCCACCGGCGCCUCGCAAGCCGGCGCGUACGUGGUGAAUGUUUACCGCGCAACACAGUCGCGCCCUAAUCCUUCUCACCUCUUAAUCAGACAACCAUUAAAAUGGGAUUAGAGGCUAUCUGCCGAAAAUUCCACGUUUCCCGAGCGGGAGGCGUUGGCCUCGUUUGCUAAGCUGGGAUUUCCCUCUUUGGGAAAGCGGCACGAUCCUUUACGCUCAGCGCGGUGAGAGCUUCACACCGGCGAGGCCGCGGCGUUUUAUCCAACCGAUCUAGAGGUCGAUGGUCUAAACUGCUGAAGCGUUCUUUUUUAUUUAUGUUGCCAUAUUGAAGAAUUAUUGUAUUAAGUUUGCAUCGCAAUGGUCAGGUCAAAAUGUCCUGUUUGUAACUCGAAUACCUGUGAAACCAAUUUUUGCGUUUGGCGCUGAUUAGCCAAUGCUAACAUGCUAGCAAGCUAAACCCGCGCGGUCAAAGUGGUGAACAUCAAGCGCGCUAAAAUACCGCUAAAGUUGACCCAUGGUCAUUUAUGAGCGUGUUAGCAUGCUGGCGUUAGCAUUUAGCUCCUACGUGUGAGGUCGUUGCACCUGAAGUGACGGAUUGGUUUUAGUGCUCGAUACCAACCGAACCAAAUGACGAAUUACAAAUUUGUGGCUCCACUGCUUCAGAAAAAUAAUGAAAACUUUUAACAAAAUCACACAAUUGGAAAUGUACAGAUUUCUUGUCAAAAACAGUUUUUAAUUUCACUUUAAAUUCAUCCUUGUCUUGUUCUUGCUUCCCCGUUCGGCGCUCAUGGCAUUCUGCGGUGGAGGGCUACUUAGCACACAACAGUUAAUACCUGUCUAAUUUAUUAGCCUCCUGCCCCGGCCCUGAAGGGCCAUUAGCAACACACACUGACACAGCACACCGCCCUGUGUCGUAAUUUAUUGUCUUAUUACAGUGCUGCAGCGGCAUCAAUUAAUUAUCCAUUAAAGCGCUGCUGUCCCAGGAUUUAUGGAGGGGCCUGUGGGGGCUGAGGGAGAUGCAGUUGGGAGGAAUGAGGGGGGAGAGUAGGUAGAUGUGAGAAAGAGGAGGAGGUAAGUGGGAGAAGGAUGGAAGAAAAAUUUAUGUUUUUUUGGUUGUGCUUUGAUUUGAAAGUUGGAAUACAAACAAAGUUAGCCCAAAAUAAUUAAAAUUAAAGCAACGGCAAAAGAGUCUACGAAUCAAAAGGUGUUUUUCUUGUAAGCAAAUGUUGUUUAACUGACUAUAAAUUACAUUCCAGGCUGAAAUGUGGUAUUUGGCCUUGCUUUAAUUUCCAGGAGGUAGUUCAUCAUUUCCUGUACAAACUGGUCUCCACACUGAGAGCUUUAAUACGGUCGGAAUGAACGAUAUCUUUGGAAAUAGACUGAAGAAAAGCUCCAGCAGAUAUGGACAUUAACGCCAUUACGGUUACUGCUUGAGCUAAAUGGAUAUAUUCACUGAUAUCGGUACGAGCCGCCAUAACACUCAGCAGAUGUUUAAUAGAGUUAACUGCCCCAACCAGCAGAAAAGGGUAUUUACCGUGAGAGGAGUUAUCAGAUGCUCGACUUGCAUCAAAGCUGCUGUUGUUCACCAGCAGAGUGUGAAGCAGCAGUGUGAGGACCUCUUUCAUGUGGUUUGGUAAACUUUAAGUAUUAAACAUUGAAAUGUCAACCGGGAUCUUAUAAUUCCUCAUAAACGUAAUGAUGCCCUCGGGGUUAUUAUGGGAUCCAGUAUAAUGAGAGCUCGACUCAUGUUGGGGAAGUGAAGUUGUCUUUAAGCGCUUUUACAACACGUUUCUUGGGAUUCCUACAACAUAAUUAUAUUUUAUAAUGAUACUUUCAUAUCUGUUAAUCGUCGCCAAAUGCAGAUGUAUAUUUUAUAUUUUAUUAUUAUUAUUUCCGUUUUAUAUACCCAUUGUUAAUAUAUCCUGUUUAACCUUCUCUAUCUGUACUUUAAUGCCGUGGUGAAUAUAUGGAACAGACUUCACUGCGUUCACUCCCUCUGCCCUCAAAACCUGCGCAUGUGAGACAUACACAGCAGAAGAAUGUCCUGCCCCUCCCAAACACCUCCACCCCCAACCAGCGACUUCCACCCAAACACCAUUUGUACAGAAAACAAAGUGUUUUCCAGCACUGACAGGGAGGAUGGAUUACUUCCAUUACGCUCUACAAGGAGCACGUUCUGUCCAGAGGAAAGCGCUGUAAGUUAUUGCAGAAGGUGCUGCUGCUAACAAGUCCGGUGAUCCGGGGCUAAUGGGGUUCAUGUUCACUUAAUGCAUCCCGGAGAGGUGGCAAAUCAAACGCACCCAAAUGAGCAUCACCACCAGCGCCAUCGCCUCCACCAGCAUCACCACCACCACCAAAUCCACCAACAUCACCUCCACCAGCAUCACCUCCACCAGCAUCACCACCAUCACCAUCACCACCACCACCAACAUCACCACCACCACCACCAAAUCCACCAACAUCACCUCCACCAGCAUUACCACCACCUCCACCAAAUCCACCAACAUCACCUCCACCAGCAUUACCACCACCUCCACCAAAUCCACCAACAUCACCACC
ensembl:lncRNA